ensembl:lncRNA
AUGCCGGAGUGAUGGCUGAGGAGGGAGCUCAGCAGACAGAAGAGGACACAUUUUCCACGCAUAAAACCGCUUUGGCCACCAAGCCAGUCGUCAAGCUAGAAUGAACAAAGAACUGCCAUCUGCUCUGCCCCUUAUAUAAGAAAAACACCACCAGAAAGAUGUCUCCAUUGCUAGGAGAUUCAACCUCUCCAGUAUUCUCAUUCGAAAGAUGUCUUGAAUCUAGAGUACUGUUUCUCAUGGAAUGCAUUCAACCAGGCUCUGGAGAUCUGGACGCUCAGGCUUGAGGCUUCUCACAAGCUCCUAAGCACCGAUGAUGCUUUGUUCUGUGGGAAGCAGGGAUCUGAAGCAUGGAACAACAGCUUCUAAAAUCACACACCAAGAGCUGUUUCUACAGCACUACUUUAAUAAGGAUUUUCCUUGGCAGGAAACCACCAGGAAACCGACAAAUCUAGUUUAAAGCCCAAAUCAAAUCAUUUGCUGGAGAGAAUCUCUUGUACUGAAUGGAAGCUUCACCCAUCAAUCAAAAGCUGAUUGGUCAAUGAGCUGAGGCAGGAAAUAGGAGGUUGGAGUUUCGACAGAGAGAGGAACUCUGGGAUAGAGUCACGUUGCAAGCAUUCAACCAGAACUCUGAGGAAGCCGGCCACGUGAAACUGAAGCUGUCUAUUCAUCUGUGAAAGAAGGGAAGAAAGUGACUACUCUUUAUCUGGGAGAAGAAAUGAAGUGCUGCUACUUACUCUUUGGGGAGUUUCCACGGAAGGACCAUUAGAAUGACAGUGUUGCAGAUGCAGGGAAACAUCUGUUUGCAGCUGCUGAUGGUUCAUGCCAAUAUUCAUAUCUGGUCCAAACGCUUCAGAAUCCGUGACUGUUCAGUGUUCAGCCUUAAAUGGGACAUCUUAUAUCCAUCUCUUUCAAGGCUCAGGAAACAUCUUGAAAGAAACUCUUGAGCUCGUUGGCAGGAUCCGUUGUCUACAGAGGCCCAUGGGUAAAGAGGAGCAUCAUGGUAGGCCUUGGUGCACAGAGAAAGCCUGCCAGAGUUGGGGAAUAACAAGAUGCAUAUGGAGGAAGGUUGGAGAUCUUUGUGAUCCACUGGGGAUGGAGGCAGAGAGGAGGGGCUGCUUUCCAGUGGUUUACUACAAAGUGGGGUGACACUGAGGGAUUGCAUUUGGAGGAGAGGUGGGUGGCAGUGGUGAAGAUCUGCAGUUAGGUUCCCUGCUUCCUUGGCUGGAAUGGCCUGCACAGCACAAGGCUUUCAUGGUCUGACCCCGUUCAGUUCUUAGGAUCUAGACUUAAGCAC